rnacentral:rRNA from 1 species
GAGUUUGAUCGUGGCUCAGGAUGAACGCUGGCGGCGUGCUUAACACAUGCAAGUCGAACGGGGCCACCAUUUUUGAAGCGAUUAGCUUGCUAAGAGUGGAAAUGUUGGCGGCUUAGUGGCGGACGGGUGAGUAACGCGUGGGUAACCUGCCAUAUACAGGGGGAUAACACUUAGAAAUAGGUGCUAAUACCGCAUAAGCGCACGGAGCUGCAUGGCUCAGUGUGAAAACUCCGGUGGUAUAUGAUGGACCCGCGUCUGAUUAGCUUGUUGGCGGGGUAACGGCCCACCCAAGGCGACGAUCAGUAGCCGGCCUGAGAGGGUGGACGGCCACAUUGGGGACUGAGACACGGGCCCAAACUCC